UUCUGUUUCUCUCCCUGGCAGUGUGUGUGCAGCUGAGGGUGUGGCUGGCUGAGCGGGGCCUUCACUAUGAGGUACACCUGGUGCUCAUCAGUAAUCACUCCUGCCAUAAAAGCCUGGUCAAUACACCACUCCUGUGCCAGAUUAUCCCGUUGCAGUUGUUUUCUAGUGUGCCUCGCCUGCAGUCUCCAGUACUGCUGUUUUUCUGGUGCUCAGCCUCAGUGGAUAUGCUGGUCAAUUUGCCACCUCACCUGAGACACCAGCCAGCCCUCAGCCACCACCUCCAGCCUCUUGCCUUUUUUCAUUGAGACAUUAUUCUUUCAAUAAACACCCCAAGAACUCUC